UCCCCACCCAUACCCCACAAAAAAAAAACCAGAGACCUAUUCGUGAUACAGCCACCACCAGCGGCCCACGACACCCCCUUCGACCAGUGAAGCAACCACCAGCCACCUGCAGCCUUGUCGACCCGUGACUAGGCCAGUCGAAACCCACACCCGUGGAAGAUUAUCAAGAGAUUGUGGAGUUCCAAUUUCCAGAUCGUGUUAUGAGAUAAUUUGAUAUAUCACAACAUAUACCAACUCCCUUGGAUACAAACGAAAGUUUACAUGAUCUGAAUAGGAGAGGGCGGGAUAAUGUUGAUUGGGUGGUCAAGAACGCUACAUGGUUGACAUAUUGGGAUGAUAGACUAUCUCAUAUCGCACAGGAGCAAUUCCCUCGCACGAGCGUUGGCGAGUAUAUGCACUAGUAUUACUCUAUCACCCGACAGGUUAUUAAUGCUCCAUCUAUAGAUAGGCCACAAACAGAUUUGGAUUAUGCCCCACGGGGGAGUCGGCUACGACGAGUGGCUGCUUUGGCAUUAGAGGGAGCAAAAAAAGCUACUGCUGCAACGCGUGAUGCAAUUAAUGACUCUACUGCUGCCAUUGCAAAUAAUUGGUUGGGAAAUUGCCGCGACAUGAGGGACAUCGAUUUGAAGAGGCUAUAAGCCAUGAUGUUGAAGCUACACCCCACCAUGAGGGUAGAUAUCUUGUAGGUCCAUCACAUCGACAUGGUCACACUCCCCAUGCAACUGACUUUACUAUGCAUCCAUCCCAGUUGACGCAUGAUGAGGUUGGUCCAUCCACUACUCCCGCCGGAUGGAGUAGGCAUAGGACUAUAUGAUCUUUGCCUUUACUUGAAUCAUAUGACAAUUUAUGUGUUUAUUUUUACUCUGUUAUAAUGAUAGUUUCUUCACGUUGGAUCAAAGGAUUAGUAUAUGUAUGUAUUUUGCUGGAUAUGAA